GGGCGAAUGGUUUAGUGGUAUAAUACUCCCUUAGCAUGAUUCGUUUAACUAACGAUGUCUGAUAUGGGAGUGGUCCAGGGUUCGAUUCCCUGUUCGUCCA
rnacentral:tRNA from 1 species